GACGAACGCUGGCGGCGUGCCUAAUACAUGCAAGUAGAACGCUUAAGGAGGAUCUUGCUUCUCUGGAUGAGUUGCGAACGGGUGAGUAACGCGUAUGUAACCUGCCUUGUAGCGGGGGAUAACUAUUGGAAACGAUAGCUAAUACCGCAUAAUAUUAGAUGUUGCAUGACAUUUGCUUAAAAGUUGCAAUUGCAUCACUACCAGAUGGACCUGCGUUGUAUUAGCUAGUUGGUGGUGUAACGGCUCACCAAGGCGACGAUACAUAGCCGACCUGAGAGGGUGAACGGCCCAAAUGGGAACGAGACAAGGCCCAGAAUCCUAAGGGAGGCAGCAGUAGGGAAUCUUCGGCAAUGGACGGAAGGCUGACCGAGCAAAGCCGCGUGAGUGAAGAAGGUUUUCGGAUCGUAAAGAUCUGUUGUAAGAGAAGAACGAGUGUGAGAGUGGAAAGUUCACACUGUGACGGUAUCUUACCAGAAAGGGACGGCUAACUACGUG
rnacentral:rRNA from 1 species